AGCCCUCUGCUUUUUGCAAGUCAAGUCACUUAAGGAAGAUUUGCAAAAAGAAACUAUCAGUGUGGACCAGACUGUGACUCAGGUAUUCCGGCUAAGACCUUAUCAAGACGUCUAUGUGAAUGUUGUGGAUCCCAAGGAUGUGACCCUUGACCUACUGGAAUUAACUUUUAAGGAUCAAUUAUUGGUCGUGGAGAUAUGUGGCGACUGAAGAAAAGUU